GACGAACGCUGGCGGCGUGCUUAACACAUGCAAGUCGAACGGAAAGGCCCUGCUUUUGUGGGGUGCUCGAGUGGCGAACGGGUGAGUAAAACGUGAGUAACCUGCCCUUGACUUUGGGAUAACUUCAGGAAACUGGGGCUAAUACCGGAUAGGAGCUCCUGCUGCAUGGUGGGGGUUGGAAAGUUUCGGCGGUUGGGGAUGGACUCGCGGCUUAUCAGCUUGUUGGUGGGGUAGUGGCUUACCAAGGCUUUGACGGGUAGCCGGCCUGAGAGGGUGACCGGCCACAUUGGGACUGCGAUACGGCCCAGACUCCUACGGGAGGCAGCAGUGGAGAAUAUUGCACAAUGGGCGGAAGCCUGAUGCAGCAACGCCGCGUGCGGGAUGACGGCCUUCGGGUUGUAAACCGCUUUCUCCUGUGACGAAGCGUGAGUGACGGUAAUGGGUAAAGAAGCACCGGCUAACUACGUG
rnacentral:rRNA from 1 species